rnacentral:rRNA from 1 species
GACGAACGCUGGCGGCGUGCCUAAUACGUGCAAGUUGAGCGCUGAAGGUUGGUACUUGUACCGACUGGAUGAGCAGCGAACGGGUGAGUAACGCGUGGGGAAUCUGCCUUUGAGCGGGGGACAACAUUUGGAAACGAAUGCUAAUACCGCAUAAAAACUUUAAACACAAGUUUUAAGUUUGAAAGAUGCAAUUGCAUCACUCAAAGAUGAUCCCGCGUUGUAUUAGCUAGUUGGUGAGGUAAAGGCUCACCAAGGCGAUGAUACAUAGCCGACCUGAGAGGGUGAUCGGCCACAUUGGGACUGAGACACGGCCCAAACUCCUACGGGAGGCAGCAGUAGGGAAUCUUCGGCAAUGGACGAAAGUCUGACCGAGCAACGCCGCGUGAGUGAAGAAGGUUUUCGGACCGUAAAACUCUGUUGGUAGAGAAGAACGUUGGUGAGAGUGGAAAGCUCAUCAAGUGACGGUAACUACCCAGAAAGGGACGGCUAACUACGUG